GGCCCGUUCGUCUAUCGGCUAGGAUACCUGGUUCUCAGCCAGGAGAGGCGGGUUCGAUUCCCGCACGGGCUG
rnacentral:tRNA from 1 species